AUACGUAGGGAGCGAGCGUUGUCCGGAAUUACUGGGUGUAAAGGGAGCGUAGGCGGGAUCGCAAGUCAGAUGUGAAAUACAUGGGCUUAACCCAUGGGCUGCAUUUGAAACUGUGGUUCUUGAGUGAAGUAGUGGUAAGCGGAAUUCCUGGUGUAGCGGUGAAAUGCGUAGAUAUCAGGAGGAACACCGGUGGCGAAGGCGGCUUACUGGGCUUUUACUGACGCUGAGGCUCGAAAGCGUGGGGAGCAAACAGGAUUAGAUACCCUGGUAGUCCACGCUGUAAACGAUGAUUACUAGGUGUGGGGGGACUGACCCCUUCCGUGCCGCAGUUAACACAAUAAGUAAUCCACCUGGGGAGUACGGCCGCAAGGUUGAAACUCAAAUGAAUUGACGGGG
rnacentral:rRNA from 1 species